rnacentral:rRNA from 1 species
UACAGAGGUCCCAAGCGUUGCUCGGAAUCACUGGGCGUAAAGGGCGCGUAGGCGGCGUUUUAAGUCGGGGGUGAAAGCCUGUGGCUCAACCACAGAAUUGCCUUCGAUACUGGGACGCUUGAGUGUGGUAGAGGUUGGUGGAACUGCGAGUGUAGAGGUGAAAUUCGUAGAUAUUCGCAAGAACACCGGUGGCGAAGGCGGCCAACUGGACCAUCACUGACGCUGAGGCGCGAAAGCGUGGGGAGCAAACAGG